rnacentral:tRNA from 1 species
AAGUAAAGAAGUAAAAUACAUUUAAUUUCGACUUAAAAUUAGGGUCAAACCCCAUACUUA